CUUGCGAACAAUUUCUGUACUUGCAUAGAGUAUUUUUUUAAUGUCAUUCAGUUUCAAUUUCAAAUUUUAUAUUUGUUAAUAACAUUUUUUUUACUAUAUCUAAAGAUUGCCAUCUACUGGCAUGUAAUAGCUUUGGGGUCUGUUAUUGUUCAUAAAUCUGAAAAUUCAAUAAAGUUAUUUUCUCAGCUGAUUCUGUGAUUGCAUUUUAUUUCAUAGGAUAGGGGCAAUAGUUGGGGAAACAUUAACAGCAUUUACUUUAUCAUGCCAACUACAGUGCAAUAUGUGGUUAAUUAAAAGCCCAUUAGAGCAAAGCACUGAUUUUUCCCAUGUGAAUGAGCUUUCUAUUCCCCCAAAUUAAGCAAUGUUUCAUAUUUCUCUAAGAACAGAAGAACACGUUAUUUAAGUUAAAAAUGUACUGUUUCUUUAAACGUUUGAAGCAAUGCUAUCCUCCUGGUAUAUAGCAGUUUGGUGGCUCAGUAAACAAGAUGGGGGUAGAACUAUGCAAAUUCCAAAAUUGUGAGAGACUCCUCUCCCUCCUCAAGUGAAUUUUUAGUUUACCCUAAAAUUCCUUAGGUGUCUAGACCCUGAUUCAUCACAGCUUCCCCUCUAGUCAGCAGAGCAUGGGGACCUCUGGAGGAACAUAUUAGCUGAGAAGAAAGGGCAGAUGUGACCCCAAGCAAGCUUUGAGCAGGUAAAUAGGAGCACUGAAUCCCUGCUGCAAGGUUCAGUGUUGAUACGCACCUGGGACUACUACAGUCUUAAAAGUUAGUGGCAGCUGUUGGUAACUACUCCUACAUUGAUUUCAUAUGGGUUGGCAGAAUGUGCUCCAGGUGUGCAAAAGGGAUUGGUCCCAUGUACAAUGACCUGUUUUUCCCUGAGAAGGUUGGGGAGUGUUGGGAGCUGGUGUUUGCAGGGGUAAGCUGAGGAAGCAGUCUGUGUGUCUUGUAGGAGCUGUGAUUCCUGAGCAGAAAUCCACCCUCAUAACUGAUGAUCAAACAGGCUCUUGCAUUGGCCACAUUCGAAGCUACAGCAGCAGAAUGCCAGAUGAGAUGCAGCAAACUGCACCGCUCUGGCUGAGUAGCCAACCGAGGAAGAAACUGCUGAAUUCCUAAUUUCCAUCCAAGUGACUUGCUGCUUUUCAUGCUCCUCGCCCUGUGUAUUAUCUGCAAUCUACUGAGAACAUGAAUUUCACUGUUGUGGUUUUCUUUUUUUUUUUUAAAUUUUAAGUAUAUUUUGGAAGUCGAGAGCAAACAGCAGAAAGAUGAAAGAGAAGAGACGUUUCACUUACCUCCAUGCUUUCAGCCCAGUGGGUGUGUGAAUUUCCACGGCUGUCGGCAGAAGUCAGCCGGCCAAGCGCCUGUGUGGCACUUACAGUGUUGGGCAGCCUCCUCUGACUUGUUUCCUGCAUGAUUCAUGACAGUGCAUUCAGGAGUGACUUUUUCCUAGGUAUAAAAAUUUGAGUUCUGCUUCUUGCUGAGGGAGUUUUGGCUAUGUGUCUUCAGAGUGGGCUUAAGCCUUAAAGUGGGUAAAUAGCACUGAAAGCAAUGGCCUUUUGGUCAUUGCACAAGCACAGAUGUCACAAAUGUUUUUCUUUAUCCUUGUAAAGUUCUGCACAGAACAAUGGUAACAAGAAUCAAAUAGGUCAG
ensembl:lncRNA